AACGCAAAUUGCGCCUUCUUUCGGAAGGCAUGUCUGUUUGAGGGCACCAUUUAACAAAUAAUGUGCGCGUCGUUUUUACGAGCGACGUGCGCACGUUGAUGAGCUUUUCCGAAAAAACCAGGUUUUUUUGGUGGCGCAUAAUGAACAGCGUGGGCUUUUUCUUCGAUUCUCGUGUAGUAAAUUUCAAAACAACGCUUGGAUUGAGAAAAAGUGCGUGCCGCGCAAUGGGUGUGGCGAAUUUUACCCCUGCCCCAAUGCCACUCUUUCCCUGCGAAAGAACAUCUUUUAUUCAGGGCCUCAAAUCAGACAAGAGUACCCGCUGAACUUAA
rnacentral:misc_RNA from 1 species